rnacentral:rRNA from 1 species
UCUAGAGGCUUCGGCAAUGGGGGCAACCCUGACCGAGCGACGCCGCGUGUGGGAUUGAAGGCCUUCGGGUCGUAAACCACUGUCAUGAGGGAAGAAUGCCCGGAUGGCGAAUCCGGGAGAGACGGUACCUCAAGAGGAAGCCCCGGCUAACUCCGUGCCAGCAGCCGCGGUAAUACGGAGGGGGCAAGCGUUGUUCGGAUUUACUGGGCGUAAAGGGUGUGUAGGCGGCCGCAUAAGUCUGGUGGGAAAUCUUCACUGCUUAACGGGAAGAGGUCACUGGAAACUGUGUGGCUCGAGAAUGGUAGAGGCCAGCGGAAUUCCUGGUGUAGCGGUGGAAUGUGUAGAUAUCAGGAAGAACACCUGUGGCGAAGGCGGCUGGCUGGGCCAUCACUGACGCUGAGACACGAAAGCGUGGGGAGCAAACG